rnacentral:rRNA from 1 species
UGGGGAAUAUUGCACAAUGGGCGCAAGCCUGAUGCAGCAACGCCGCGUGAGGGAUGACGGCCUUCGGGUUGUAAACCUCUUUUAGCAGGGAAGAAGCGAAAGUGACGGUACCUGCAGAAAAAGCACCGGCUAACUACGUGCCAGCAGCCGCGGUAAUACGUAGGGUGCAAGCGUUGUCCGGAAUUAUUGGGCGUAAAGAGCUCGUAGGCGGUCUGUCGCGUCUGCUGUGAAAUCCCGAGGCUCAACCUCGGGCCUGCAGUGGGUACGGGCAGACUAGAGUGCGGUAGGGGAGAAUGGAACUCCUGGUGUAGCGGUGGAAUGCGCAGAUAUCAGGAAGAACACCGAUGGCGAAGGCAGUUCUCUGGGCCGUAACUGACGCUGAGGAGCGAAAGCGUGGGGAGCGAACAGGAUUAGAUACCCUGGUAGUCCACGCCGUAAAACGUUGGGCGCUAGAUGUGGGGACCAUUCCACGGUUUCCGUGUCGCAGCUAACGCAUUAAGCGCCCCGCCUGGGGAGUACGGCCGCAAGGCUAAAAACUUAAAGGAAUUGACGGGGUCAUAGCUGUUUCCU